UAGAAGCGUAUAUUAAUUUUGUUGCAGUUAAAAAGCUCGUAGUUGGAUUUCUGGUGGGAGGGAUCGGUCCGCUUUAUAGUGGUACUUGUGUCUUCUCCGGCCAUCCUUGGGUGGAGGUUGUCUGGCAUUAAGUUGUCGGGCAGCGGAUGCCCAUCGUUUACUGUGAAAAAAUUAGAGUGUUCAAAGCAGGCUUAUGCCGUUGAAUAUAUUAGCAUGGAAUAAUAAGAUAGGACUUUGGUACUAUUUUGUUGGUUUGCGCACCGAAGUAAUGAUCAAUAGGGACAGUUGGGGGUAUUCGUAUUCAGUUGUCAGAGGUGAAAUUCUUAGAUUUACGGAAGACGAACUACUGCGAAAGCAUUUACCAAGGAUGUUUNCAUUA
rnacentral:rRNA from 1 species